rnacentral:rRNA from 1 species
UACGAAGGGAGCAAGCGUUGUCCGGAAUCAUUGGGCGUAAAGCGCGCGUAGGUGGCCUCAUAAGUCCGCUGUGAAAGUCCAAGGCUCAACCUUGGAAAGCCGGUGGAUACUGUGAGGCUAGAGUACGGAAGAGGCGAGUGGAAUUCCUGGUGUAGCGGUGGAAUGCGCAGAUAUCAGGAGGAACACCAAUAGCGAAGGCAGCUCGCUGGGACGGUACUGACGCUGAGACGCGAAAGCGUGGGGAGCGAACAGG